rnacentral:rRNA from 1 species
AGCGGCGAACGGGUGAGGAAUACAUGGGUAACCUACCCUCGAGUGGGGAAUAACUAACCGAAAGGUUAGCUAAUACCGCAUACGGCUCCUGGUCUGCGGAUCGGGAGAGAAAGCGAUACCGUGGGUAUCGCGCUCUUGGAUGGGCUCAUGUCCUAUCAGCUUGUUGGUGAGGUAACGGCUCACCAAGGCUUCGACGGGUAGCUGGUCUGAGAGGACGAUCAGCCACACUGGCACUGCGACACGGGCCAGACUCCUACGGGAGGCAGCAGUAAGGAAUAUUGCGCAAUGGGCGACAGCCUGACGCAGCGACGCCGCGUGGGGGAUGAAGGUCUUCGGAUUGUAAACCCCUUUCGGCAGGGAAGAUGGAACGGGUAACCGUUCGGACGGUACCUGCAGAAGCAGCCACGGCUAACUUCGUGCCAGCAGCCGCGGUAAUACGAAGGUGGCAAGCGUUGUUCGGAUUUACUGGGCGUACAGGGAGCGUAGGCGGUUGGGUAAGCCCUUCGUGAAAUCUCCGGGCCUAACCCGGAAAGUGCGGAGGGGACUGCUCGGCUAGAGGAUGGGAGAGGAGCGCGGAAUUCCCGGUGUAGCGGUGAAAUGCGUAGAGAUCGGGAGGAAGGCCGGUGGCGAAGGCGGCGCUCUGGAACAUUUCUGACGCUGAGGCUCGAAAGCGUGGGGAGCAAACAGGAUUAGAUACCCUGGUAGUCCACGCCUUAAACGAUGGAUACUAAG